rnacentral:rRNA from 1 species
UACGUAGGGUGCAAGCGUUUAAUCGGAAUUACUGGGCGUAAAGUGUGCGCAGGCGGCCGAGCAAGUCGAGUGUGAAAGCCCCGAGCUUAACUUGGGAACUGCGCUCGAAACUACUUGGCUAGAGUGUGGCAGAGGGAGGUGGAAUUCCACGUGUAGCGGUGAAAUGCGUAGAGAUGUGGAGGAACACCGAUGGCGAAGGCAGGUCUCUGGGCCACUACUGACGCUGGAGAAGCGAAAGCAUGGGGAGCGAACAGG